rnacentral:rRNA from 1 species
CUACAUGAAGCUGGAGUUACUAGUAAUCGCAGAUCAGAAUGCUGCGGUGAAUGCGUUCCCGGGUCUUGUACACACCGCCCGUCACACCACGGGAGUUGGAGACGCCCGAAGCCGAUUAUCUAACCUUGUGGAAGAAGUCGUCGAAGGUGGAAUCAAUAACUGGGGUGAAGUCGUAACAAGGUAGCCGUAUCGGAAGGUGCGGCUGGAUCACCUCCUUUCUAAGGAGA